AAAAAUGUAUAAAUUAAAAGAAAAACAUGUCGAAAAUAAAUUAUUGCAAAUUUGUUUUAACAGUAUAUAUGAUGCAGUACUACAUGCUGGGAAAACAGAAAAUGACAAUGACAAAGACAAAGACUUAUGGAGGAAUAAAGAAUGUAGCAAUCGGUUGAAUUCGUUUGGUGAUAAUUGUAGUAACGGUAGUGAUGAUAACAUAAGCAGUAAACUGUUAAGCAAAGUAAAUAAAAACAAUCUGGUCGUAAAUAGCGCCAUUUAUAACAAUAUUAAAAAAGGCAAAACACGAUCAUGGAAAAGAUGUUCAUGGCCUAGUAAAAACACAAAAGAAAAGUAUGAUGAUAAUACAUAUAAAAAUAAACAUAAUCAAUAUGAUACUGGUAAUUCAAACCAGUGCACACUGACACCACCAUGUUACCGUACUAAUUGUAUACAUAACUACCUGAAUGUGUUAAUAGAGAAUAAAAUUAGAAACAUUUUUUAUUUGUAUGAUUCUAAAUUAAAUUCAACCAUAAAAACGAAAAAUAUUUUAAAUUUUUUUGAUAUUAACAUAAUAAUUAAUAAUAAUAUAUCUUUUUAUCAAUAUCAAAUUUUUAAUUUAUUUUUUUAUUUAUAUACAAAUUCGUGUGCUAAUAAAGCACUUAAUUAUAUACAACCCAAAAUAUUAUGGGAUGUAGACUCUUUGAAUACUUCCGAAAUUAUACAUGAUAGCUCAACACAUAAUAAAACAAAAAAAAGUCUAGAUGAUUUAGAAGACCACAUGCAGCAUAAUAACAUGAUAAAAUAUUUGAAAACAAGUAAUGAACAUAUGACAAACAACGAAAUUUUUUUAAACGAUGUAAAAAAUAAAAAAGUUGCUCCUGUUUGAUUAUAAAAAUAAAAAAAAAAAAAAAAAAAAAAAAAAACAAGUUCGUAUAUCCCCUUCAUAUACAAAUAUUGAACAACAAUUAGAUACAAAUAUAGAUAACUUUAUAAAUAAGCUAUCAACAAGUUAUAAUCACAAUAAUGAUUGUAAUUAUAAUAAUAACGUAUCUGCCGAUGAAAGUAGUAAUAAAAUUUGUUAUAAUAAAUCAUUUCAUCUGCAUAAUAUAAAUGGGAAUUCUAUCAAUGGUGAUGAUAAUGCUAAUAAUAAAUAUGAACAAGACAUAAAAAAAAUAGAAAAAGACGUAAAAAAAAUAGAAAAAGACGUAAAAAAAAUAGAAAAAGACGUAAAAAAAAUAGAAAAGGAAGAAAAAAAAAAAAUGGACGAAAGUGGAAUGAUGAAAGAGGCACAAAAUGGGAAUUCAAAUGAGGCGCAGUGUAAUGGAACAAAUGUUGUACAAACAAAAAGAAAGCUGAAAAAUACAUUAGAUGAACAAUUUGGAAUAUUGAAUGUUGAUGAUAUAUAUGCGAGUGAGUCAGAUAAUAUAAGUGAUAAUAGAAGAGUAGGGACAAAAAAAAAAGUAAAAACUAAGGAUGAUAGCAAGACAAAAAUGUAUACACGUAUGGAUAAUGAAAAAGAUAGUACCUUUACUUUGUCAAGCGAUUUACAAACUAUAUAUGAUGCAUAUAAUAAUGGGGAAGAAAUAGUAAUUGCAAAAAAUAAAAAAAAAUUAUUUAAUAAUUUAGAAACUUAUAAAAAUUUUAGCGUACUGUUUAAGCAAACUAGCUAUGAUGGUGGGUAUGAUAAUAUUCAAACGAAUAUGGAAAGACAAAAUCGUUUGAAUAUGGAUAUUAACUAUGUAAAAAACGACAAUAUGCAGUAUAUGAAUCUGCAGAAUGUACAGCAUAUGGAUAUACAACAAAAUGGCUUCUUGAACCAACACGUGGGACAAUACGCAAAUACCAUUAAUUAUAUUUGUACAGCCAAUGAUACGAAUAAAUACCCUUUUACAUAUCUUUCUUAUAAUAAUAAUGGUAACAAUAAUAAUAAUGAUGAUAUGUCAAAUUGUAAUAAUAUUGGUUUGAUUCAAGACCAAGACUUAAUUUGUAAUAAUAAUUAUGAAAAUAAUAAUGUAUCUUGUAGUGAAACUGUACCGAAAUGGGAGUUAUUAAAUGGGAACUUUAAUUUGAAUAAUAACUACUAUGGUAUUUAUAAUACUGGUUUGGGUAACAUAAAUUAUGUAGCUGAUUAUAAUAAUAAUAAUAAUUUGAUUUUUUAUAACCCUAAUAUGUAUAUAAAAGAUGAAAAUGUAAAAAAUGCAUGUUCUGAUAAUUUAUUUGAUGGUAAAUAUGAUAAUAAUAUAAGUGCCAUUAGUGUGGAUAGUACAAGGGGUAUAUAUGAAGGAAGCGGUUUUAGUGAUUCUAUUUAUAAUAACACAUAUUUGACUUUAAAAAAUAAUAUUAAAAAUGUUCCUAAUUAUAAUCCUACUUAUGGUCCUAAUUAUAGUCCUACUUAUAGUCAUAAUUACCAAAAUUCGACUAGUAUAUACAAUAAUAGUGAUAGUAACAGCAAUAAUGACAAUAAUAAUAACACUAAUAACGACACUAAUAACGACACUAAUAAUGACACUACUAAUGACACUACUAAUGACACUACUAAUGACACUACUAACGACACUACUAAUGACAUUAAUAAUAGUAAUAACUUAGUUAUGUCUACAUAUAAUAUGACAUCACCUGACAUGUUUAUAAACACAUUUAAUAAUUUCACUCUAUAUAAUAUAUACGAUCCAUCAAAUAAUUUAUUUUUGUUUGAAAACAUGAAAUUAAAUGACGGCUUAAUAAACCAAGAUAUACCUCAAAACUUUAUAAUAAUAAAUAAUAAUGGAAUACAAAAUAUCAUUUAUCAAACGCAAAAUAUUAACAGUGACAAUAGUUAUAUUAUAUAUCCGAUUGGUUACAUUAAUACAAAUAUGAAUGAACAAUAUGCCAAGAAUGGUUUAUCAGCUGGUAUGUACAUAAAUGUAAAUAAAGCAGUUGAUGGUGUAGACACACAAAAUAGUAUCUACAUGGAUGUGAAUAAACAACAUAUCGAUACAAAUACGAACUUACAUACGAACUUACACACGAACCAACACACGAACCAACACACGAACCAACANNNNNNNNNNACGAACUUACACACGAACCAACACACGAACCAACACACGAACCAACACACGAACCAACACACGAACCCACAAGCUAUAAAUUAUGAAAACGUUUACAAUAAUACCCCAAAUGAAAGUAAUAACAACACUAAUAGUCGUAGUAAUAGUAACGAAUUAAGUGGUGACAAAUAUAAGAUAAUUAAUAACGAAGUAACAAAUGAAGGUAUAAAUACGCCUACUAACAAUAGUAAUAAUAAUGAUAUUAAAAUAAAUGAAAAUAUAAUUAUUGACAUAAAAACAAGUAAUCAAAAAAAUGAUAACAUGAGUAUAAUAAAAAAUGACGUACAGUAUAAGAAUAUAAUUAAGGGUGUACUGGAGAAACAAAAGAAUAUUAUCACUACUAAAAGUCACGAGGAUGAUGUCCAUGUUGUUAGUAACGGUAUUAGCAACGAUAUUAGUUACGACAUUAGCAACGGUAUUAGUUACGACAUUAGCAACGGUAUUAGUAACAAUAUUAGUAACAAUAUUAGUAACAAUAUUAGUAACAAUAUUAGUAACAAUAUUAGUAACAAUAUUAGUAUAAAUGGAACCGAAAAAGAUAAUAAGAGUAGCAAUAUAAAUAGUUAUAGUGUUAAUAAUAGUAAUAAUGACAGUACUGGUGUAAUUACGAAUUCAAACAACAAAGAAAAUACAAAUAACUCUAACAACACUUAUUAUAACAAUUCAAAUAAGAAUAAUAAAAAAAUAAAUAGUAACUAUGAUAGUAAUAGCAAUAGUACGACUAAUAACAGUACUAUUAAAAACAUGAGUGAAAAAAAUAUUAAUAACUUCUCAAUCACAGGUUGUAACAAUAGUAGUGAAGAUUCUCAUGUAUACCUGGAUUCACAUAAAAAUGAAUUUUAUAACAAGAAUAAUAAAAAUGACAUAAUUUGUAGUAAUAAAAAUGAAAGCAAUAAUACUUAUGACAUAACGAAAGAAGUAGAUACAGACAUAAAUAUCGAUAAAAAAAAUAACGUGGAAUCUUAUAACAUUGGUAAUAGCAUGAACAAAAAGAAGGAGCUUAAUGAUAUGACAUCAUUUGUUGCAUGCGAAGAAAAUAUAGUAUCUAAAGUGUCUGACCCAACUCAUUUAACUCCCACAGAAAAAUUAGGUUCAACAACAACUUACAAAUAUAAUAAUGUCAACAGCAGUAUAUACAAUGAAGAUAAUACAUAUGUCAAUGUAGUAGACGUCGAAACUAGGGAUGAAAAAAGUAGUUUGUUACAAAAUAAAAAAGAUGAAACGUUAAGUAAUAAAAUGGAUAGUAAGGUAAAUAGCGAACUAAUUACCGAACCAACUACCGAGCUAGCUACCAAGCUAACUAAUCAUGUGGACACCAAAACAAAUAACCAAAUUGACAACCAAAAAGAAAAUUUAAAAAACAUAUGUGAUACUAACAUAUCAUUUACUCAGACGCAGAUUAUUCCAAAAAAAAAUAAUAAUGUGAUUUUUUUAAGUAGUGAAAAGAACAUUAAUAACAAUAUGAAUAUAAUAAAUAACACAAUAUCGGAUACUAAUAUAUUUUAUGAAAAUAAUAGUAAUAGUAUCAUAACUAGUGAUAAUAGUAGUAAUAUUAAUAACAAUAAUGAUCGUAAUAAUGAUAAUACUAAUGAUAUUAUGAAUAUUUAUAAUAAUUUUAAUUCAAUAAAUGAAAUGGUUCCUUGUCCAUAUGAUAUUAGUAGAAAUAUAACAACUUUUCAUAGUUCCGAAAUAAAUGAUAAUAUAAAUAUGUAUAACUAUGAUAUUAAUAAUAAAAAAGAAAAUAUGAGUAUACCCACUGAUAUAACAAAUAUGUAUUAUUCUAAUAAUACAAUAGACCAGUUUGGUUAUUAUCAAACAUGUAGUGAUAAUAUAUGCGGUAAUAAUAUUUGGGGUAAUAAUAUAUGGAAUAAUAAUGCAUCUUAUAUUAAAGACACUAAUAAUAGUGAAUGUUAUAGUAGUUCUUAUACAAGCACUUCUUAUUGUAAUUAUUCAAACGAUUGCAGUUUUAAUAAUUUUGAUACAUUAAAUAAUGAUCUAAGUAUGAAUAAUAAUAUAGACAACAUCAACAACAAUCAUACCAUUUGUAUUACUCCUGUUGAUUGCUCCAACACACUUACAGAUAGUAUAAAUGAC
rnacentral:lncRNA from 1 species